rnacentral:rRNA from 1 species
AUUGAACGCUGGCGGCAUGCCUAACACAUGCAAGUCGAACGAGUGGCGGACGGGUGAGUAAUGUCUGGGCAACUGCCUGAUGGAGGGGGAUAACUACUGGAAACGGUAGCUAAUACCGCAUACCAUCGGAUGUGCCCAGAUGGGAUUAGCUAGUUGGUGGGGUAACGGCUCACCAAGGCGACGAUCCCUAGCUGGUCUGAGAGGAUGACCAGCCACACGGGAACUGAGACACGGUCCAGACUCCUACGGGAGGCAGCAGUGGGGAAUAUUGGACAAUGGGCGCAAGCCUGAUGCAGCCAUGCCGCGUGUAUGAAGAAGGCCUUCGGGUUGUAAAGUACUUUCAGCGGGGAGGCGUUACCCGCAGAGGAAGCACCGGCUAACUACGUGCCAGCAGCCGCGGUAAUUC